AUUGAACGCUGGCGGCAGGCCUAACACAUGCAAGUCGAGCGGAUGAAGGGAGCUUGCUCCUGGAUUCAGCGGCGGACGGGUGAGUAAUGCCUAGGAAUCUGCCUGGCAGUGGGGGAUAACGUCCGGAAACGGGCGCUAAUACCGCAUACGUCCUGAGGGAGAAAGUGGGGGAUCUUCGGACCUCACGCUAUCAGAUGAGCCUAGGUCGGAUUAGCUAGUUGGUGGGGUAAAGGCCUACCAAGGCGACGAUCCGUAACUGGUCUGAGAGGAUGAUCAGUCACACUGGAACUGAGACACGGUCCAGACUCCUACGGGAGGCAGCAGUGGGGAAUAUUGGAAAAUGGGCGAAAGCCUGAUCCAGCCAUGCCGCGUGUGUGAAGAAGGUCUUCGGAUUGUAAAGCACUUUAAGUUGGGAGGAAGGGCAGUAAGUUAAUACCUUGCUGUUUGGACGUUACCAACAGAAUAAGCACCGGCUAACUUCGU
rnacentral:rRNA from 1 species